rnacentral:rRNA from 1 species
GACGAACGCUGGCGGCGUGCUUAACACAUGCAAGUCGAACGGAAAGGCCCUGCUUUUGUGGGGUGCUCGAGUGGCGAACGGGUGAGUAACACGUGAGUAACCUGCCCCUGACUUUGGGAUAACUUCAGGGAACUCGGGCUAAUACCGGAUAGGAGCUCCUGCUGCAUGGUGGGGGUUGGAAAGUUUCGGCGGUUCGGGAUGGACUCGCGGCUUAUCAGCUUGUUGGUGGGGUAGUGGCUUACCAAGGCUCUGACGGGUAGCCGGCCUGAGAGGGUGACCGGCCACAUUGGGACUGGGAUACGGCCCAGACUCCUACGGGAGGCAGCGGUGGGGAAUAUUGCACAAUGGGCGGAAGCCUGAUGCAGCAACGCCGCGUGCGGGAUGACGGCCUUCGGGGUGUAAACCGCUUUCGCCUGUGACGAAGCGUGAGUGACGGUAAUGGGUAAAGAAGCACCGGCUAACUACGUG